CUUGACCGAGCCCAGCCACAGCGGGGGACGGUCCUGGGGGCGCCCCUGGCCGUAGGUGGCGAGCAGGGCCCGUGCCUC
rnacentral:antisense_RNA from 1 species